UUGCCUUUGGCGGCCCUCCUCAUGCCCUGCUAUCGAGUAAAGACUUGUUUGCUCCUGGAACCCAACGUUGUUCCUUUCCUGGAACAACUAACUGUGCUGUGUGGACAUUUCUGAGGGGGAAAGAUACAUUUGUUUUAAAAUUUUGAAACUUGUAGCCUGUAUUUGUUUCUGGAUGUACAGAGCAUGAUGGCAGCGUCUGAGGUAGCUGGUGUGGUGGCCAAUGCCCCCAGUCCCCCGGAAUCCUCUUCUAGUUUAUGUGCUUCCAAGUCGGAUGAAGGUCUCCUAGACGGUCUAAGCCCCAAAGACCCUGCCCAGAAGCACAAGAACUCGCCUCUGUCAAGUGUAAGUAGCCAAACGAUAACCAAGGAGAAUAACAGAAAUGUCCAUUUGGAACAACCAGAGCAGAAUCCUGGUUCGGCAGCAGGUGACACCUCAGCAGCGCGGCAGGCGGUGUUAGGAGAGAACUUGAUAGCCACAGCCCUUGGUCUUUCUGGCGGUGGGGCUCAGUCUGAUUUGAAGGACGUGGCCAGCACAGCAGGAGAGGAGGGGGACACGUGCCUCCUGGAGAGCCUGCACCCUGCCGCUCGGUCUCUUAAGGCUGGGUGCCGUACAAAGCAGCUUGCCUCCGGGAGCUAUUCUGAAGACAAGUCCCCACAAGCCUCCACCCUAAAGGAAGGGAGCGGGGACACAGGCUUGGAUUUCCGACCUGUAGUACCGCCAGCAAAUGGGGUUGAAGGAGUCAGAGUGGAUGAGGAUGGUGAUCAGGAUAGCUCUUCCCUGAAGCUUUCUCAGAACAUUGCUGUACAGACUGACUUUAAGACGGCCGAUUCAGAGGUAAACACAGAUCAAGAUAUUGAGAAGAAUCUGGAUAAAAUGAUGACGGAGAGAACCCUGUUGAAGGAGCGUUACCAGGAAGUCCUGGACAAGCAGAGGCAAGUGGAGAAUCAGCUCCAAGUGCAAUUAAAGCAACUUCAGCAAAGGAGAGAAGAAGAAAUGAAGAAUCACCAGGAGAUACUGAAGGCUAUCCAGGAUGUAACAAUAAAGCGGGAAGAAACAAAGAAGAAGAUAGAGAAAGAAAAGAAAGAGUUUUUGCAGAAGGAGCAGGAUCUGAAAGCUGAGAUUGAGAAACUCUGCGAGAAGGGCAGAAGAGAGGUGUGGGAGAUGGAGCUGGACAGACUCAAGAAUCAGGAUGGCGAAAUAAACCAGAACAUUAUGGAGGAGACAGAACGGGCCUGGAAGGCAGAGAUCUUAUCCCUAGAGAGUCGGAAAGAGUUGCUGGUGCUGAAGCUGGAAGAAGCGGAAAAGGAGGCAGAGCUGCACCUCACGUACCUCAAGUCAACUCCCCCAACACUAGACACAGUCCGUUCCAAACAGGAGUGGGAGACCAGGCUGAAUGGAGUUCGGAUGAUGAAGAAGAACGUGCGGGACCAGUUCAAUAGCCACAUCCAGCUGGUGAGGAACGGGGCCAAGCUGAGCAGCCUCCCUCAGAUCCCCACGCCCACUCUGCCGCCUCCCCCCUCAGAGACUUCAUGCUUCAGGUGUUUCAGCCCAGCCCCUCUUUGGUUCCUCGGAUGCCCUUCUCCAUUGGGCAGGUCACGAUGCCCAUGGUUAUGCCCAGUGCAGAUCCUCGUUCCUUGUCUUUCCCCAUCCUGAGUCCUGCCCUUUCCCAGCCCAACCAGCCGUCCCCACCCCUUCCUGGCUCCCAAGGGAGAAGUAGCCCUGGCCUGGGUUCCCUUGUCGGCUCCCACGGUCCACACGUGCCCCCCGCCGCCUCCAUCCCGCCUCCCCCAGGCCUGGGCGGUGUCAAGGCUUCUGCUGAAACUCCCCGGCCCCAGCCAGUCGACAAACUGGAGAAGAUCCUGGAAAAACUGCUGGCCCGGUUCCCACAAUGCAAUAAGGCGCAGAUGACCAACAUCCUGCAGCAGAUCAAGACGGCACGCACCACCAUGGCAGGCCUGACCAUGGAGGAGCUGGCGCAGCUGGUGGCCGCGCGGCUGGCCGAGCACGAGCGAGUGGCCGCGAGCGCGCAGCCACUUGGUCGGAUCCGGGCCUUGUUCCCCGCUCCGCUGGCCCAGAUCAGUACCCCAAUGUUCUUGCCUUCUGCACAAGUCUCAUAUCCUGGAAGGUCCUCACAUGCUGCCGCCGCCUGCAAGCUGUGCCUCAUGUGCCAGAAGCUCGUGCAGCCCGGCGAGCUGCACCCGAUGGCCUGCGCCCACGUGCUGCACAAGGAGUGUAUCAAGUUCUGGGCCCAGACCAACACAAAUGACACUUGUCCCUUCUGUCCAGCUCUUAAAUGACAGACCUGACUGGGGAAGAGGAAGAAGAGAAGCCGGUGGGAACAGGAAGCGCGGGUUCAAGAUUUCUAAAACUCUAUAUUUAUACAGUGACGUGUACUCAUGCCUUGUACAUUUUUAUUAUAUAGGUGAUGUGUGUAUAGAAAGUCUGUAUUCAAAUGUUCGUAAAUGAAAGUAUGUAUAUUAUGCAGAAAUGGCCUGUCCCCUUCAGCUUGCAACUCCUUGGGGGAUGCAGAUUGUAGCUAAGAUGAUACUUAGUUUGGCCUUGAAGUUAUGAUACUCCUGCCUACGGCUGUUUUCAAAUACAAUAUAAAAACCGUUCGGAAGCUGCUGUUGGGCUGAGGCUGUGCUGCUUUGAUCUGGCUCGACCCCCGGUCCAUCUCUGAAGGCCGUGUGCAGA